UGCUGGUGUAGCUCAGCUGGUAGAGCAACGCAUUCGUAAUGCGUAGGUCGGGGGUUCGAAUCCCUUCACCAGCAUCC
rnacentral:tRNA from 3 species